rnacentral:rRNA from 1 species
AACGAACGCUGGCGGCAUGCCUAACACAUGCAAGUCGAACGAGACCUUCGGGUCUAGUGGCGCACGGGUGCGUAACGCGUGGGAACCUGCCCUUAGGUUCGGAAUAACUCCCCGAAAGGGGUGCUAAUACCGGAUAAUGUCUUCGGACCAAAGAUUUAUCGCCUUUGGAUGGGCCCGCGUUGGAUUAGCUAGUUGGUAGGGUAAAAGCCUACCAAGGCGACGAUCCAUAGCUGGUCUGAGAGGAUGAUCAGCCACACUGGGACUGAGACACGGCCCAGACUUCCACCGGAGGCAGGAGUGGGGAAUAUUGGAACAUGGGCCAAAGCCUGAUCCAGCCAUGCCGCGUGAGUGAUGAAGGCCUUAGGGUUGUAAAGCUCUUUUAACCGGGAUGAUAAUGACCGUACCGGGAGAAUAAGCCCCGGCCAACCCCCUG